rnacentral:misc_RNA from 1 species
AACGCACAUUGCGCCCAUUAGUAUUCUAGUGGGCAUGCCUGUUCGAGCGUCAUUUCAACCCUUAAGCCUAGCUUAGUGUUGGGAAUCUACGUGCGGCCCUCGUUACCCUGUAGCGUGGUUACCCUGUAGUUCCUGAAAAACAACGGCGGAUUUAUAGUGUCCUCUGAGCGUAGUAAUUCUUUAUCUCGCUUCUGUUUAGGUGCUGUAGAUUCUGCCGCUAAACCCCCAAUUUUUGUGGUUGACCUCGGAUCAGGUAGGAAUACCCGCUGAACUUAA